AUACCUUAAACUUCUGAGUUAAGGAAGUAACAAUUCCGGGUGACACUAAAUCCUUACUGCUAAUGUGAGAGGAAUUUUUGAGCAGGUAAAAGUUACCCCUCAGGUGACUUGCCUAUUUUGUGGGAUGCCUGGGAGUUGUGAUCUGACUC